UACUGCGUUGUGCACGUGCAUCCCGUGCGUUGUGUUUAGGGGUGGUGAUAAGGAGAAAUGCUGGUGCGUUCAUAAGAAUAGUCUUUGAAAUGU